rnacentral:rRNA from 1 species
GAUGAACGCUGGCGGCGUGCCUAAUACAUGCAAGUCGAGCGAACAGACGAGGAGCUUGCUCCUCUGACGUUAGCGGCGGACGGGUGAGUAACACGUGGAUAACCUACCUAUAAGACUGGGAUAACUUCGGGAAACCGGAGCUAAUACCGGAUAAUAUUUUGAACCGCAUGGUUCAAUAGUGAAAGACGGUUUUGCUGUCACUUAUAGAUGGAUCCGCGCUGCAUUAGCUAGUUGGUAAGGUAACGGCUUACCAAGGCAACGAUGCGUAGCCGACCUGAGAGGGGGAUCGGCCACACUGGAACUGAGACACGGUCCAGACUCCUACGGGAGGCAGCAGUAGGGAAUCUUCCGCAAUGGGCGAAAGCCUGACGGAGCAACGCCGCGUGAGUGAUGAAGGUCUUCGGAUCGUAAAACUCUGUUAUUAGGGAAGAACAGAUGUGUAAGUAACUGUGCACAUCUUGACGGUACCUAAUCAGAAAGCCACGGCUAACUACGUG